GACCCCCGAGAACGUCGCUGCCGAUGCACGACAGCACCAAGACUAGCUUGGCCAACUGCAAUCAAAGAGAUUUUGCGAUGAAAUCGCUUGCUGGAACUCUUUAUUUCGAAGGAGAAUGUAUACGUCAAUGGGUCAUCUCUCGAGGAAGAUGACCGAGAUAUUGCGGGGACCGAGACGGUGGACAUUGCGGUGUCCGCUGCGAUAAUCGCGUGUUACCGAGGGAAAGUGGGGCACAGACAUCCCUCCGUUAUGUACGGUAUGUUCAGCAUCGCGUAGCCGAGGGAAGAAGCCGAAAUGCUCUAUCGAUGCGGAAUCUGGUCCUGAUCGCAUCGUUAUAUCUUUUACGAUAAAAAUUGCGAGAUAUUAUCGACAUUACGCGUUAAGCUCAUUUCAGAUAGAAAGAUUUUACCCAAAAAGAUUUUAUAAACCAUUGUUCUCUUCGAUUUUUACGGCGGUCACAUUACGAUAUACGUAGCAAUUUGCUCGCCCAAUUAUUAAAUUUGUUAAUAUCGUCGGCUUUUAUUAUUGCAAAAAAAAAAAAAA